rnacentral:lncRNA from 1 species
UCAGGGGUGUGGAAAUGCUAUGCCCGACUCGCCCGACUCGUACAUUUUAACACCCGGACAAGUAAUUAUUUGUGUCUUGGUUGCCCGUGGACAAGUAAAUUAAUAUACAAGACAAAGUUCAAAUUCAGCAAAAAUAUAGGAUUAAUUUCAAAACGUAUAAAGAUGUUUAAUUUAUGUAAAAGAAACCAAUAAUCAGCGAGUAAAAGCAUAUAUUUAAGUAUAAACAUCAAUGUUUUGACGAUAAAUAUUACUCCAGAAAUAUAUCGAUUACCAAAAUGAGUAAAAAUAAGUAUUCAAACCCGAGUCGCGUAAUAUUGCAUUGGCUUUGUCCAUUGACCAAGAAUCGUCGAUUAUGUUUUAUCCACUAUUCACCGGAAGUGUCAUUUCUUAAGAUUUUGAAUCGAGAUUCAGAUUGAUGAAUACUUUUAAAAUAAAACAUCGGGCAAGCAAGACAAAAAGAAUGACGAGUCAAGUCGAAAUCAUGAAACGCAAACGGAGAUGGUCAAGGUGUAUAUAAAAAAAAUACGGAAGCGAGAAUAUCAGACAUCGUGAAUAUCAGA